rnacentral:rRNA from 1 species
AGGGUUUGAUCCUGGCUCAGAUUGAACGCUGGCGGCAGGCCUAACACAUGCAAGUCGAACGGUAGCAGGAUGUGCUUGCACAUCGCUGACGAGUGGCGGACGGGUGAGUAAUGCUUGGGAACUUGCCUUUGCGAGGGGGAUAACAGUUGGAAACGACUGCUAAUACCGCAUAAUGUCUACGGACCAAACGGGGCUUAGGCUCCGGCGCAGAGAGAGGCCCAAGUGAGAUUAGCUAGUUGGUGGGGUAAAGGCUCACCAAGGCAACGAUCUCUAGCUGUUCUGAGAGGAAGAUCAGCCACACUGGGACUGAGACACGGCCCAGACUCCUACGGGAGGCAGCAGUGGGGAAUAUUGCACAAUGGGGGAAACCCUGAUGCAGCCAUGCCGCGUGUGUGAAGAAGGCCUUCGGGUUGUAAAGCACUUUCAGUUGUGAGGAAAAGUUAGUAGUUAAUACCUGCUAGCCGUGACGUUAACAACAGAAGAAGCACCGGCUAACUCCGUGCCAGCAGCCGCGGUAAUACGGAGGGUGCGAGCGUUAAUCGGAAUUACUGGGCGUAAAGCGCACGCAGGCGGUUUGUUAAGCUAGAUGUGAAAGCCCCGGGCUCAACCUGGGAUGGUCAUUUAGAACUGGCAGACUAGAGUCUUGGAGAGGGGAGUGGAAUUCCAGGUGUAGCGGUGAAAUGCGUAGAUAUCUGGAGGAACAUCAGUGGCGAAGGCGACUCCCUGGCCAAAGACUGACGCUCAUGUGCGAAAGUGUGGGUAGCGAACAGGAUUAGAUACCCUGGUAGUCCACACCGUAAACGCUGUCUACUAGCUGUUUGUGACUUUAAGUCGUGAGUAGCGAAGCUAACGCGAUAAGUAGACCGCCUGGGGAGUACGGCCGCAAGGUUAAAACUCAAAUGAAUUGACGGGGGCCCGCACAAGCGGUG